AGAGUUUGAUCAUGGCUCAGGACGAACGCUGGCGGCGUGCCUAAUACAUGCAAGUCGAACGAAACUUUCUUACACCGAAUGCUUGCAUUCACCGUAAGAAGUUGAGUGGCGGACGGGUGAGUAACACGUGGGUAACCUGCCUAAAAGAAGGGGAUAACACUUGGAAACAGGUGCUAAUACCGUAUAUCUCUAAGGAUCGCAUGAUUCUUAGAUGAAAGAUGGUCCUGCUAUCGCUUUUAGAUGGACCCGCGGCGUAUUAACUAGUUGGUGGGGUAACGGCCUACCAAGGUGAUGAUACGUAGCCGAACUGAGAGGUUGAUCGGCCACAUUGGGACUGAGACACGGCCCAAACUCCUACGGGAGGCAGCAGUAGGGAAUCUUCCACAAUGGACGCAAGUCUGAUGGAGCAACGCCGCGUGAGUGAAGAAGGUCUUCGGAUCGUAAAACUCUGUUGUUAGAGAAGAACACGAGUGAGAGUAACUGUUCAUUCGAUGACGGUAUCUAACCAGCAAGUCACGGCUAACUACGUGCCAGCAGCCGCGGUAAUACGUAGGUGGCAAGCGUUGUCCGGAUUUAUUGGGCGUAAAGGGAACGCAGGCGGUCUUUUAAGUCUGAUGUGAAAGCCUUCGGCUUAACCGGAGUAGUGCAUUGGAAACUGGAAGACUUGAGUGCAGAAGAGGAGAGUGGAACUCCAUGUGUAGCGGUGAAAUGCGUAGAUAUAUGGAAGAACACCAGUGGCGAAAGCGGCUCUCUGGUCUGUAACUGACGCUGAGGUUCGAAAGCGUGGGUAGCAAACAGGAUUAGAUACCCUGGUAGUCCACGCCGUAAACGAUGAAUGCUAGGUGUUGGAGGGUUUCCGCCCUUCAGUGCCGCAGCUAACGCAAUAAGCAUUCCGCCUGGGGAGUACGACCGCAAGGUUGAAACUCAAAGGAAUUGACGGGGGCCCGCACAAG
rnacentral:rRNA from 2 species